AUUGAACGCUGGCGGCAGGCCUAACACAUGCAAGUCGGACGGUAGCACAGAGGAGCUUGCUCCUCGGGUGACGAGUGGCGGACGGGUGAGUAAUGUCUGGGGAUCUGCCCGAUAGAGGGGGAUAACCACUGGAAACGGUGGCUAAUACCGCAUAACGUCGCAAGACCAAAGAGGGGGACCUUCGGGCCUCCAACUAUCGGAUGAACCCAGAUGGGAUUAGCUAGUAGGCGGGGUAACGGCCCACCUAGGCGACGAUCCCUAGCUGGUCUGAGAGGAUGACCAGCCACACUGGAACUGAGACACGGUCCAGACUCCUACGGGAGGCAGCAGUGGGGAAUAUUGCACAAUGGGCGCAAGCCUGAUGCAGCCAUGCCGCGUGUAUGAAGAAGGCCUUCGGGUUGUAAAGUACUUUCAGCGGGGAGGAAGGCGAUGUGGUUAAUAACCGCGUCGAUUGACGUUACCCGCAGAAGAAGCACCGGCUAACUCCGUGCCAGCAGCCGCCGUAA
rnacentral:rRNA from 1 species